rnacentral:misc_RNA from 1 species
GAUGAAGAACGUAGCGAAAUGCGAUAAGUAAUGUGAAUUGCAGAAUUCAGUGAAUCAUCGAAUCUUUGAACGCACAUUGCGCCCCCUGGUAUUCCGGGGGGCAUGCCUGUUCGAGCGUCAUUACAACCUUCAAGCUCUGCUUGGUAUUGGGCCCCGCCAGUUCUGGCGGGCCCUAAAGUCAGUGGCGGUGCCUUCCGGCUCCGAGCGUAGUAAUUCUUCUCGCUCUGGAGACCCGGUUGUGUGCUUGCCAACAACCCCCAAUUUUUUAAGGUUGACCUCGGAUCAGGUAGGGAUACCCGCUGAACUUAAGCAUAUCAAUAAGCGGAGGA